GAUGAACGCUGGCGGCGUGCCUAAUACAUGCCAGUCGAGCGAACGGACGAGAAGCUUGCUUCUCUGAUGUUAGCGGCGGACGGGUGAGUAACACGUGGAUAACCUACCUAUAAGACUGGGAUAACUUCGGGAAACCGGAGCUAAUACCGUAUGAUAUUUUGAACCGCAUGGUUCAAAAGUGAAAGACGGUCUUGCUGUCACUUAUAGAUGGAUCCGCGCUGCAUUAGCUAGUUGGUAAGGUAACGGCUUACCAAGGCAACGAUGCAUAGCCGACCUGAGAGGGUGAUCGGCCACACUGGAACGGAGCCACGGUCCAGACUCCUCCGGGAGGCAGCAGUAGGGAAUCUUCCGCAAUGGGCGAAAGCCUGACGGAGCAACGCCGCGUGAGUGAUGAAGGUCUUCGGAUCGUAAAACUCUGUUAUUAGGGAAGAACAUAUGUGUAAGUAACUGUGCACAUCUUGACGGUACCUAAUCAGAAAGCCACGGCUAACUACGUG
rnacentral:rRNA from 1 species